CUAGCUGAGGUUUUAUUUUGGACCAAAAAAAAAAAGCAAUUGAAUUGUUUUGUAGCUGGAGGCAUGGGCAAGGGGGGUCCCCAGGUAGUAAACUCCCCAGGUGGGUCUCCUGUUCCCAGUGCUACCCUGCAUAGCGGCCUCCUUCCCAGGCUCUGGGGCAGCGCAGGAGGGGUAGGCUGGGAGGGGCUGCCGCAGCUGUUCACUUGGGCAGGACGUCAGAGGACUCAGACACCAGCUUCCCAUCACGUGUCUCGAUCUUCUUCACAACCACGGCCCUGGAGGAGCUGGUGGCGAUCUCGAUGUCCAGGGCCAGCUUGACGUUCAUCAGCUCCUGGUACUCACGCAGCUGCCGCGCCAUGUCCUGCUUGGCCCGCUGCAGGGCGGCCU
rnacentral:lncRNA from 10 species